rnacentral:rRNA from 1 species
AUUGAACGCUGGCGGCAGGCCUAACACAUGCAAGUCGAACGAGUGGCGGACGGGUGAGUAAUGUCUGGGAAUCUGCCUGAUGGAGGGGGAUAACUACUGGAAACGGUAGCUAAUACCGCAUACCAUCAGAUGUGCCCAAAGGGGAUUAGCUUGUUGGUGGGGUAACGGCUCACCAAGGCGACGAUCCCUAGCUGGUCUGAGAGGAUGACCAGCCACACUGGGACUGAGACACGGUCCAGACUCCUACGGGAGGCAGCAGUGGGGAAUAUUGCACAAUGGGGGCAAGCCUGAUGCAGCCAUGCCGCGUGAAUGAAGAAGGCCUUCGGGUUGUAAAGUACUUUCAGUGGGGAGGCGUUACCUGCAGAAGAAGCACCGGCUAACUCCGUGCCAGCAGCCGCGGUAAUUC